rnacentral:rRNA from 1 species
GAUGAACGCUGGCGGCGUGCCUAAUACAUGCAAGUCGAGCGAACAGACGAGGAGCUUGCUCCUCUGACGUUAGCGGCGGACGGGUGAGUAACACGUGGAUAACCUACCUAUAAGACUGGGAUAACUUCGGGAAACCGGAGCUAAUACCGGAUAAUAUAUUGAACCGCAUGGUUCAAUAGUGAAAGACGGUUUUGCUGUCACUUAUAGAUGGAUCCGCGCCGCAUUAGCUAGUUGGUAAGGUAACGGCUUACCAAGGCAACGAUGCGUAGCCGACCUGAGAGGGGGAUCGGCCACACUGGAACUGAGACACGGUCCAGACUCCUACGGUAGGCAGCAGUAGGGAAUCUUCCGCAAUGGGCGAAAGCCUGACGGAGCAACGCCGCGUGAGUGAUGAAGGUCUUCGGAUCGUAAAGCUCUGUUAUUAGGGAAGAACAAAUGUGUAAGUAACUAUGCACGUCUUGACGGUACCUAAUCAGAAAGCCACGGCUAACUACGUG